UACGUAGGUCCCGAGCGUUGUCCGGAUUUAUUGGGUUUAAAGGGAGCGUAGGUGGAUUGUUAAGUCAGUUGUGAAAGUUUGCGGCUCAACCGUAAAAUUGCAGUUGAAACUGGCAGUCUUGAGUACAGUAGAGGUGGGCGGAAUUCGUGGUGUAGCGGUGAAAUGCUUAGAUAUCACGAAGAACUCCGAUUGCGAAGGCAGCUCACUGGACUGCAACUGACAUUGAGGCUCGAAAGUGUGGGUAUCAAGCAGG
rnacentral:rRNA from 1 species